rnacentral:rRNA from 1 species
GACAGAGGGUGCAAACGUUGUUCGGAAUUACUGGGCGUAAAGCGCGUGUAGGCUGCUCUGCAAGUCGGGUGUGAAAGCCCUGGGCUCAACCUAGGAAGUGCACUCGAAACUGCAGAGCUUGAGUCCUGGAGAGGAAGGCGGAAUUCUCGGUGUAGAGGUGAAAUUCGUAGAUAUCGAGAGGAACACCGGUGGCGAAGGCGGCCUUCUGGACAGUGACUGACGCUGAGACGCGAAAGCGUGGGGAGCAAACAGG